UUUGAGAGAGAAAAAUGAGAAAUAUGUGAGCAUCAGUGUGUUAAGGUCUGUUCAUACUAUAAGAACGAUAACUAUGACUAUAUUAGCUUCCACACCAACACACAAUAUCAUUCUGUUUAUUGUAAGUGUGCUGCAUUUUUGUCGUCUGCUGCUUUAAAUGCUUGUGCUCUUAAAACAGAAUGGAUUCUGAUUGGCUGUCAAAAUGUUUAAAUUAAGUUAAAAAAGGAAAUAUCUUUAUUGUUAUUUGUAAUAGUUAUCAUCCUUAGAGUAAACGGGCCUUUUACGAUGUAUACAGUGACUUUUUAUAAGUUGUGUCACAAAUAAACUGCUAGAUUCUUAAUACAGUUAGAGCUUUAUGGAAUGAUCACACCUGAAUGGCGCUCAGAUAAAAACAAUGACUUCUUUAUUAGCAUAACCUUGUUAGAGUCUUGUGGAGGAUAUCUAAUCUCAAGAGAGAUGAGUGAAACUGUUCUGACACACAGGUGAGGCUGUUUCUCAUCAGCACUGCUUCAUAUUCCCAUGUUUGAGUAAAAUGUCUGCCUACAUGUAUAUGGUAUUUUAUGCUAUAAAAUGGAAAUGGGUUCAUAAAAAGUUAAUUUAAUAGGCCUUUAUUAUGAAGAUUCAUUUGUAAGCUUGGCUGGUGAUGAGUCCAUUAAACGACACUGAUGUUUAAUAGAAAUCACUGCCUACAUAAAUAUUGUACGUGUAGAUUUCCGGGAAAAUGGUUGGAAAACUCCAGUAUGGGCAGAGUUUGGGAGUAGGUCCAUAAAUCCUUCAACCAACAAACUUUGGACAUGCUGUGGUGGUCAGAAGCAAGAUAAUCAGGUCAGGUCAUUUGGUUUGACCUGUAUCAAACACUUUUUCUAAAGUCCACUGUACACAUAAUCUCAGAGGAUUCAAAGUAGGUAAGAACCAGAAAUGGUUUACUAAUUUGUUUCUAUGUGACUUGAUGGAAAACACCUUUCCAAGAAAUUCCUUUGAAAAGGGAAGUGAUGGAAAAAAUAACCCAGACCUCCCUAAUAAGCUGUUUAAUAACAAAUCCAAUGACCCCGCAGGUCAGUAUGUUAGCACGAACAACAAGCAGCAUGUGAUCGUUGCAACACAGGCUCAUUGGAAAAAUGUGACUCUAGCUACAUUUUUGCAUGCGUCGUACAUGAUUUGUAAACUAAUUUCUUUUGACGUUUGCAUCACAUAACUACCUUUUCUGAGAUGGUAAACUUGCUUGGUAGCUCACCUGGUACAGCAUUGCACUUGUGAUGCGGACGCAAUAAAACAGUUCAAAGACUGGUAGAAACAAGCUAAAAUGGCAUAAUUGCUUUAGCAAAUGUGUUUUCAUCUUCCCGAGCUACUGUGAUACGUACAACAACCAGCAUAAAACGUUGGCAGGAUUCACAAUCAUGUUUCGGAUAAAACUGAACAAGCUUUUAGAACCACUGGACAUUUCAUUUUGAAAGUGUCGCAAAACAUGUAAAAUGCAGUGAUUUUGCAGAAAUCUCGCCACAGGAAUGUUUUUUCCAGUGAGCCUGGGUUGGAUCAAAUAUUGUCCUGAAUUCAUCUGCAACAUUAAGCCCAAAGCAUACUUCAGUUUUUAUGCUUACGCUAGGGUUGCGUACAGUGUAUGUGACAUAAAUAUCAUCAUCAGUACAGUAUGCGCGUACUUUACAUGGCAGCCAGAUUUUCUAAACACGUGUACAAUGUACGCUCAGCUUGCACACGGCUUUGAAUUUUUUUGUGCUAAUUAGUUUGUCCACAAGGUGGCAACACUAGCCCGGGCCGUGGUUUCACAGUUGAAAAAGAAAAGGAGACAAAAUAACAACAAACUACUGGAGAAUCAACAACAAUAGACACCAGUGCUGCCGAAAGUUUGUAUGAGAGAAUACCUACUUAUUGUAUCGGCCAGAAUUUUAAUAUUGCUGCAUCCCUAUUUACUAGUACACAAGGUUUAGUAGGUUAAGUAUGUGGAAUGGGACUGUACUCUUGCAAUAUGCCAACCCAGCAUUUGCAUACUUGUGUACUUGUGGCCUUAGUGCCAAUUGCUCUGCUAAAGAAUCUAAUAAAAAUUGUUUCUAGUAGGGAACAUAAAAUGUGAAAUCAGAUGUACAUCCACUAUGAAAUAUGUUUCCACCUUCAUCCAAUUCUUAAAGUUGACAUUCAACAGUUCAUAUAUUUGAUAUGCAGUGAGAUAUAAAGUAUACAAGCAUGAAAAUAAGAGCGUAGAACUAAAUUUGUAUGUAUUCAAAGCAGGUAGGAAGAAACAACAGUAAGUAGCUCCUGUAACUCAACUGGUAGAGCUUGGUGCUAGGAAUGUCAAUGAUUCAAUUCCCAGGCAAUAGCACAUAGUGAAAAAAAAAAAAAAAAAAAAAAAAAAAAUAUAUAUAUAUAUAUAUAUAUAUUGUGGCUUUAGACAAAAAUGUCAAGUAAACUAAUACAUUUAAAUACUAAUGAUUCAAAGUUAGGGAGGAACAGAGUGGCAGAGGGAAAAAAAAACUAUGUUAUGAGAGCAAAUAUUGACUGUUCCAGAACAUACUCUUGUUGCAGAACAAAUUUACACUGGAUUGCUCGUUUUAUGGCCACUUCUACCCGUGCAGGUGAAUCAUAUGAUGAUCAUAUGAGGUGCUUUACAAACACAAAAAAAUGUCAACAUGCUGGAUGCUCAUAUAGGCAGAAGAGUAAUUUGUGUAUCAUACUGACAACAGGUUUGGCAAAAGCAUUAUGCUGUUUGAAUGCACUUGAUAGGAAUUUACAAUCUAAAUAACCUAUGUUAUGUUUUAUGUUAUAACAGGUUAAUUACUAGUUUCAGGUUGAUUAAUGCCUUUGGUUAUAAGCAUUUUUCAUAUCAUUGAUCUGUCAAUAUUGAAUAGUCACUAUGGCUCCAGUAUUAAGAUCUGUGUAAUGUAAGAUUAUUGUUCUGCACUGCAGCCAGUAACUUCAUUCAAUCAUUAAUCAGGAGCAGUUGUGUUGAACAGGCCGUUACCAGGUACAAAGUUCUCCUUACAGGUUGAGUUUUUUUUUCCCCCUGGUAGACAAACAAUGUCCUGAAUAAAUGCUUGCAUGGACGGAACAAUAUUAACCGGAAGAACAACUUAAAUGUAAGGGGUCAUCGGAACAUCAUCGUAUUUUUGUUGUGUAAACGUGAAAACAAUAAAACUACAGUGAUGAACCGUGCUCUCAGGACAAGAGUUCUUUCACGUUUUCAAAUGUCAAGUCAGGAUGUUUUUUUUUUCCCCACAAUUGUUUUACUACUAAACCCUUAAUAGGCUGUUUAAUGGCAGAUUCCACUGUGACAACUUGCCCCACAAAAGGUGAUGUAUUGUUUCCAAGCUGUGGAUCAGAAAGGACCUGAAUGACCUGCUAAACCAGAUGAAGGUGGCCUUCAGGUCUGGGGAGACUGAAGGACUGAAUGCACGCGAUGCUGAAGAAGAUGCUUUGUGAUGAAAAAUGCUGCAGGGGACGAACUGGAGUACAAGCUUCAACAGAACAAUGUGAAGCAGGGGAGGAGUAAAAACAGCCUGGUAACCUUCAUUAGCUAUCAGCAAACAUAAACUCGCUGCAAGAUACUUUCGGUUACUUUGAAAGUGCAGUCCAACUGAACUAUUUAAAAAAUAAUACAAAUAUAUGUAAAUAAUAUAAUAACAAUAAUAUACAGUAUAAAGGAACAUAAAUUAAAAAUUUAUAUAAAAUCUAUUUAUAAUAAAUAUUAAAUAGCACAAAACUGGACAAUAGAAGAUUGGAAAAACAUUGCCUGGUCUGAUGAGUCUCGAUUUCCGCUGCGAUAUUCAGAUGGUAUGGGUCAGAAUUUGACGUAAACAACAUGAAAGCAUGGAUCCAUCCUGCCUUGUAUCAACAGUUCAGGCUGUGAAAAUAAAUCAACAUUUAUCCUUUUGAUCUUUCAUUCAAAAAAUUAGCAAAAAAUCUAACCUUUCAUUGAAGUAAAACAAUUAAGAGUGGGACAAAAUCACAUUAUGAAAUGAAUGUUUUUCUCCAAAACAUAUUGGCACCCCUAGAAAUUCUUAUGAGAAAAAUAUCUCUGAAAUAUAUUCCCUUUCAUAUUUUUUAGCACACCAGGGUGACUAGGAACAUGAAAUUAUCCAGCCAUGACUUCUUGUUUCACAAGAGUACAAAUAUGAGGAAACACAAAGGCCAAAUUCCCUUAAUCACUCAUCACAAUGAAUAAAACCAAAGAAUAUAGUUCUGAUGUGCAGCAAAAGAGUGUUGUUACGAAAUGUUACGAAUCUGCCUGGAAGAGGACGUGUGUCUAUAUCGUCCUAAUGGAGGAGAGUUUGAGUGGCCAAAGGCUCUCCAAGGAUCACAGCUGGAGAAUUGCAGAGAUUAGUCGAGUCUUGUGGUCAGAAAGCCUAAAAAAUGAUCAAAUGGCAUCUACAUCAUCACAUAUUGUUUGGGCUUUUUGGCAGCAAACCUACCAGAUGGGUAUAAAAAGUACCCCAUGCCCACGGUUAAAUAUACUGCUGGAUCUUUAAUAUUGUGGGCCUAUUUUUCUGUUGGAGGUCCAGGACAUCUUGUUCAGACACGUGGCAUUAUAGGUUCUAGCAAAUACCAACAGAUAAAAAAUCAAAAAAUUCUAGCUUCUACUAAAAAUCUUAUAAUGGGGAGAGGUCGGAUCUUCCAUCAGGACAAUGAUCCAAAACAAACAUCAAAAUCAACACAAAGAUGGGUCACUGAGCAUAAAAUGAAGCUUCUGCCAUGACUGUCCUAGUCCCCUGACCUGAACCCUAUAGAAAAUGAAUGGGGUGAACUGAAGAGGAGAGACGGCAACAUGGCGUUGGGAAUCUGAAAGAUCUGGAGAGAUCCUGUAUGGAGGAAUGAUCUCUGAUCUCCAACUCAUCAGGCAUUUAUUGGUGAUGACUCUAUUGAAUAUUGAAUUAAAGGGUGCCAAUAAUUUUGGCCAACGUGUAUUGGAGAAAAAGAGACUUUCCCCACAUGUUCAAUUCUUUUACUUCGAUGAAAGGUUAGAUUUUUAAAAAAUAAAAGAUCAAAAGGAUUAUCAAUGCAGAUUUAUUUUUACAGGCUUCUAUGUUCAUACUUACCAAGCGUGCCAAUAAUUCUGACUAUAACUGUAUAUAUAGUAGUGGCCAAAGUGAUGUCUGGUGGGGAUAUUUGUUUUUUAUGACCCUACAAGUUUGAUUAAACCGUCAAAAUAUGAGGAAUUUUUUAAAAAUAUUUUUUAAAUAUUUUAAAUACUAAAUAAGGUACAGUAUUUAUCUGACAAAAUUGUUUGGCCAAAAGGCAAACUACUGUCAAAAUCGUUUGGUUAAAAGGCAAACCACAGCUACAGGUUUUAUUUCUAUGUAAAAAAAAAAAAAAAAAAAAAAAAAAAAACAUACAAAAACAAAAACCUCAAAGAAAAAAAACAAAAAAACAAAAAAAGAGACAACAGCUGUACAACAGCCUGGCCAAAAAUUUGUUAUGUUGGCACAAUUUGUUAUGUUUCAUUGUGUUAUCACAAAUAAAACAAUUGACUCCAAGCACAACUACAAUAUAAUCUUUAACAAAUGAGUAAUAUUUAAAUAAAGGGUGAAGAUGUCAAUUUUCUUAGGCUGGACAUAACUUUUGGCCACUACUGUGUGUGUAUUUAUAUGUAUACAGUAUAGACCGGAGAUCAUUUAAAUAUCAAGUUGUUUAUUUUGCUGCAUUGUAAAUCAUAUAGAGUCAAGAAACAACUGAAAGAUCAUGUUACGUAUGUGCAUGAAUCAUGUUCAUUACUUUCUUGAGAGUUUUUGUAAACAAAAUAUGGCAAGAAAUUAUUUUUUCAAACUCUUUUCUCAGCAUAUACACCUAUAUAUCCAUAAAUAAGUAUUUCUACCUUCAACAAAUAUAUUAACUCACAUUUCAUUCCACUAAAAAUUACAACUAAAAACAUUUCAUUUUCCUGCCAUAACUAUAAUAGCUGUACCAUUUCCUUUCCAUUUCUUACAAACAGAUAUACAGAUUUCCAUACUCCAUUCUUCUUUGAAACAAUAUGCAAUGAUAACUACAGGCCUUUAGGUCUGCAUUUUAAGUGUCAAAGAAAAUGUAGAGAAUUAACAUCUUAAGACAGACACUUUUCGAUUUGUAGCAUUGGACAUUUCUAUAAAAACCAACACAUGAAGUGUGAUUAUGGCCCGGUUUCACAGACAGGGCUUAUAAGCUAGGAUUAGGCCUUAGUUCAAUUAGGACAUUUAAGUAGCUUUUAUAAACGUGCCCUAGAAAAAAACAUUCCUGGUGUGCAUCUUGAGACAAAACAAUGGAAGUGACAGUUUAAAAUAUGUCAGUGCAAGUUGCUUUCCAUUAAAAAAGCUCAAACAUGCAUUUCAGUCUAAGACUAGCUUAAGCCUUGUCUGUGAAACUGGGGGUUUAUGUCAUAAUUAAUAAUACAGUGACAGCUCAUUUGUGUUUUUUCACUAGUCACUGCUGUACAAAACUUUGUGGCACUAAAAUCUGUAUGAAAUGCACAAGCUAAAUGACUGUUGGCAGCUGUAGGUUGAAAAAUAAAUUAUACUGGCCAAGUUAUACAAACAAACAUUUGGGUAACACUUUAUAAUUAUUUUUAUAAUUUUAAUAAGUCUGUAACAAACAGUAUUUAACUGAAUGUUAAUUUAUAGGGGCCCAUUUGUGCCAUUUCAUAAUCAUUUUAGAAACAAAAUGACCUAUAAAUUAAUUAUUGUAUGAAUUAAACAAAAAAUACCAGAUUCAAUUGAUUAUUCUUAUUAUUUCAUAAUUAUUAUUUAUAUAUUCUCAUUUAUAUUGUAUCCAUCUGUUUUUAUUCAUUUAUUUUAUUCAUAUUUAUUAAUGGAUUUUUUUUUUUUAAUUAAUUAAUUAAAUGCUUUUUCCAUCAUCCACAUGAUCGUUUGCUUGACUGACUUAGCACAAAUGGUCCUCCAUAAUAAUUAAUGUACAUUCACAAAUGUAUUCAUGAUUCAUGUAUUUUCAGUAUAUAUACUUUAAAUGUACAUAAACUGCUGAUCUACUGUUUGUUAUUAAUGAGUCAUUAAUGAAAGCUAUUAUAAAGUGAUACCCACAUUUGAUUGUUUUUUUUAGUGACAGCCUAAAAAAAACAGCCAUGUACUGGUUGGUAACAGAACUUUUGAUUUGGUGUGUGACAACAAGAGAAUAACAAAACAUACAGGAACACUGUUAAAUAGUACUAGACCACUACUUUCAUGACAUUCCUACAAUUACAAUUAAUAAACUGAAACCUUUGAUGA